rnacentral:rRNA from 1 species
AGUGGCGGACGGGUGAGUAAUGCGUAAGAACUUACCUUUUGGUGGGGGAUAACAGCGGGAAACUGCUGCUAAUACCCCAUAAUGCUGAGGAGCUAAAAGUGAAAACUGCCAAGAGAGAGGCUUGCGUCUGAUUAGCUAGUUGGUGGGGGUAAAGGCCUCCCAAGGCGACGAUCAGUAGCUGGUCUGAGAGGAUGAUCAGCCACACUGGGACUGAGACACGGCACAGACUCC